GGGAUUAGGGUUCGAUUCCGGAGAGGGAGCCUGAGAAACGGCUACCACAUCUAAGGAAGGCAGCAGGCGCGCAAAUUACCCAAUCCUAAUACAGGGAGGUAGUGACAAGAAAUAACAAUACAGAACCUCACGGUUUUGUAAUUGGAAUGAGUUAAGUAUAAACCCCUUAACGAGUAUCAAUUGGAGGGCAAGUCUGGUGCCAGCAGCCGCGGUAAUUCCAGCUCCAAUAGCGUAUAUUAAAGUUGUUGCAGUUAAAAAGCUCGUAGUUGAUUUUCUGUUAAUUUUUAUGUAUAAUAUUGCGAUAUUUACAUAAUAUUAACAUAAUUCACAUUACUUUACAGUAUGUGGAAUUUUACUUUGAGAAAAUUAGAGUGCUUAAAGCAGGCUAUUGCCUUGAAUACUCCAGCAUGGAAUAAUAUUAAGGAUUUUUAUUCUUCUUAUUGGUUCUAGAAUAAAAAUAAUGAUUAAUAGGAACAGUUGGGGGCAUUUGUAUUUAACAG
rnacentral:rRNA from 1 species